CAGCCACCUUUAAAAAAGCGUUAAAGCUUAAUUUUAUAAUACAUUAAUAUAAAACAUAAUUAUGAACCCACCUAAAUUACUGAAUGAUCUUAUUUUAUUUAUAAGACCCAUCAUGCUAGAACUAGUAACAAGAACACAACAUUCUCCUAAGUGUAAGCAUAAACCAAAAUGGAUAUCCCACUGGUAUUUAACGAACAUGAAUUACUUACAGUAACAAAACAAGAAAAUCCUGUAUUAAUCUAUCGUUAACCUAACACUAGAACACUUCAGGAAAGAUUAAAAGAGAAAGAAGGAACUCGGCAAAUCUUAACCUCGCCUGUUUACCAAAAACAUCGCCUCUUGCUUAAUUAUAAGAGGUCAGGCCUGCCCGGUGAUAAAAUUAAACGGCCGCGGUAUCCUAACCGCGCGAAGGUAGCAUAAUCACUUGUUCCUUAAAUAGGGACCUGUAUCAACGGCACAACGAAGGUUAUACUGUCUCCUCUCUCCAAUCAGUGAAACUGAUCUCCCUGUGAAAAAGCAGGAAUAAUUUUAUAAGACGAGAAGACCCCAUGGAGCUUCAAACCCACCGCAACUCAAACACUAAAUCCCAUUUACCCCUUAGAGACAUGCCCAUCGGUUUUAGGUUGGGGUGACCGAGGAGCAAAACAAAACCUCCUUAACGUAAAGACCUUAAUCUUCAUCCAAGAGCUACUGCCCUAAGAACUAGAACACUAACGCACACUGAUCCGAUAUUCGACCAAUGAACCAAGUUACCCUGGGGAUAACAGCGCAAUCUACUUAGAGAGUUCUUAUCGACAAGUGGGCUUAUGACCUCGAUGUUGGAUCAGGAUAUCCCAGUGGUGCAGCCGCUACUAAUGGUUCGUUUGUUCAACGAUUAAAACCUAC
rnacentral:rRNA from 1 species